UUUUUUUUGGUGCAGCGUGGAUUGUUGUCUGUAAGGGAAUAACACCAUGGUUUGUUUUGGAUUUGGAAUUAUCUACAUUGGAAAUAUCACAGUAGAAGUGAGGGCCUUUCUGGGGUUUAAGUACACAAGUAAUGAUAUAUAAACAUGACCUUUCUUUAUUUGAGUGAUGCAUAUUUCAUCAGCUGUAGUAGUGGACUUUGGAGUUCAGUCACACAAAUAAAAUACAUAUUCCAUUCUCAUUGCUUCCUAAUCAGCAUACAAAUUCUAGUGGGAUCUCCAACUAAAGUGCAAUCAGCUCAGUGAGCACAUGGUUUCCUUGUUAGUUUAACACUAGUGUCUAACGCGCGCUUUGCGCGCGAGGUGAGGUUUUUACGAUCUUAUCGAAAUGUAUAUAAAAAGAAGAGAUGUCAAACUGAGUAUCUAACGGAAUUUAUAUAAGCUUAGUAUUAGUUCAAAGUUGUAUUUCGUGUUGCAGCCAUCAUUUAUUUUGAACGUUGUAUGAGUAAAAGUAUAUAGGACCAGAUAGUGUUCAUAUUGUUGUACACAAAGACUAAAAGUAUUUAGUACAUGGUGCUACAAAUGGUAUAUGUAGAUUGCAAAUAUAUGUAUAUGUAUAAGAUAGACUUACAUUGUUUUAAAAGGCUACUCAUUAAGACCGUUGAUGGUGUGUCAAAAAAAUGUUGAUGGUUGACUGAAACUAAUUUUUCCUAGACUGAACUGGGGAAAUGGAAGGAAGCCAAAGUCUCCAACUUAAAAUUUGCAACUUAGUUCUAAAUUAUCCAAAUUAUGUUUGCAGCCUUCGUCUCCAUCUGUGUUAAAAAAAUCUGGAUCCGAACUUUUGUAUAGAUAAAUUCAUAUGGUUUGCCCUUCAGGUUUAUAUCCUGAUAAGAAUAAAAGGUUAUGUUUGCAGCCUUUGUCUUCAUCUGUGUUAACAAAAAUCUAGACUUUUGCACGGAUAAAUAAGGUUUGCCCUAUAGGGCCAGUUCUUUCUCCUUUCUGCAGGUUACAUGGCCUGACAUUCACUAAAAUAAUGGAAAGCAAAUUAUAAAAAGACCUUGACAUAAAUUACAAAUCGUUAUAUAAGAAUCAUAGAAUAACAACAACAAUCAAAUUAUUUUAAAAAAACUUCGCAUAAUGUACAAACGUUAAAUAAGAUUCGUAGAAUGGAACAUUAAUUAAAAGAACUUCACAUGAUGCACAAACAUUAAAUAAAAAUCAUAGAAAGUUGACGCACAACGACUACCGCCCAGAGCUGCACGUUGUCACCAAGAAGCACUUGUGCGGCGGCCUGCCACGUGAUGAGAUCUGGCGGAACGGGGAUGGAAAGACGGACGACAGUAGCAAGUUGCACACCGAUGUGUGCACGAGGCGAGGAAGCACGAUCCUGUGGCCCAUUGAGAAAUGGCUGCGCACGGGACGGGAGGGGCGGACGACGGUAGUAGGUGAGACGCCAACGGUCGGAAGGAGCGAGCGAGGCAAGGUGAAUAGACGGCGCAGGACACGGAUGGGCGAACAGUGGGAGUAAGUGGCACGCCGACUACCGGACGGUGCGUGACGGAUAUUCCGACCAUCAAAUCGGCGUUCGACAAGGUCGAUGCCAAGACCUCCGUGACUUCGGGAAGGGAAUAUGAGAAGGGAUAACAGAGGGAGAGGGUGGGAGCAUUGAGCGUUACCUUCAGAAGGAAGAAACCGGAAUAGGAAGCGAUGGAGGAAGAAAGCAACAAAGAAACCGGAAUAGGAAGCGAUGGAGGAAGAAAGCAACGACAACGCGAGGCUGCCUGCAGUCGUCCGCGGCCUAGGCGAUGUCGCCCUCCCGUCACCACUCCUCGCUUCUUCCCAGGGCAGAACUUUCCAGAGGACUCAGGAUAGGCAUACUAGGAGUGGGAGCAGCCAGAUCAAAUCCAACGGUAGGUUCGCGAGAAGUCAAGAACAAAAGAAGUUCCUGUUCUAUGGAAAAGCCAAAAGAGAGGACCAUACUGCAUACUGCGCCGUUGGAUGAGGAUCUUGCGAUCAAAAUCAAAAACGCUGUCGUGGACGCAUCUAGGAGCAGAUUUCGAACCAGCUUUAAUAUAUGGUUUCUCUUCUGAGACGUUCAAGUCUAGCAGUAGUGGCUUCUGAUAUUUGCUUGAGAGCUGAUGUAUCCAGCAGAGUCGAUUACGGUGUUUUGUAAAACUUUAUAAUUAUAUGAUUUCUUAUGAGCAGACAGCAGUCUUCCUUUCUCUAUAAACAAAACAAAUAGAAGUAUAGAACCAAUAAAUACUACUUUAGCUCCAGAGACACCCCCAGCACAACUAUAGACUAUAGACUACACAUUUAUAUUUUCAAACUAAAACCAACUCUAGAAGUGUACCACCUGAUUGUACAAAGAUUUAUGCCAUGCAAUUGAAAACAGAUGAACACAAAACUGAUGCCAUAGAAAAUUAGCAAUGCAAUUAUAUGAUCAAAUAUCUCCAACAGCAGAGCUUCAUGGUGGCCAAGAUAGAUCCUUGCCUUUUCAUUCAGACUGGAAAACGUAUUCACAUUCCAGCUCACAGAUACUAGCUAAAAGGGUAGCUGUAUCACUCUACGUGCAAAGGAAUAAUACACAGUACAUCAAAUUUGCCUCUUCCUAAUUCUUGGUCAAGUUUCACCAUCAAAUAUCUUGGGAACUCGAAACUGAAAUUGCAUCCAGACUCUGUUAAAAAUAUCUUAAAUUGUUACAUGUACUGCUGUAAAAUCUACGUCAAUUCUCUAACAAUGCAAGACCUGCAACUACAUUAGUAGCAAUCUAAUCGACCUCCAUUCAUCUACCGUUACCAAAAUAAACAGGAGAGGAUAAAAAAACAUUAGUCUCCAGUUUCCACUUUAAUUGAGUCUUUAAAUCUACUUACCUGGAGGCGGCUGUUUGCUCCCCUCUUUCCCACGGCGAUCGAGUACACCGAGGGCCUCCGUCCCUUCCUCUGGCUCGGCAACCCUGUGCCUCAGAAAAUCUGGUGGUCCCGAGACAUCAGCGAAGG
rnacentral:lncRNA from 1 species